CCUACGGGGCGCAGCAGUGGGGAAUAUUGCACAAUGGGGGAAACCCUGAUGCAGCAACGCCGCGUGACUGAAGAAGUAUUUCGGUAUGUAAAGCUCUAUCAGCAGGGAAGAAGAAAGACGGUACCUGACUAAGAAGCCCCGGCUAACUACGUGCCAGCAGCCGCGGUAAUACGUAGGGGGCAAGCGUUAUCCGGAUUUACUGGGUGUAAAGGGGGCGCAGACGGCGAUGCAAGCCAGGAGUGAAAGCCCGGGGCCAAACCCCGGGACUGCUCUUGGAACUGCGUGGCUGGGGGGCAGGAGGGGCG
rnacentral:rRNA from 1 species